UACGUAGGGUGCGAGCGUUAAUCGGAAUUACUGGGCGUAAAGCGUGCGCAGGCGGUUCGUUAAGUCAGCUGUGAAAGCCCCGGGCUCAACCUGGGAACUGCAUUUGAAACUGGCGGGCUUGAGUAUGGCAGAGGGGGGUGGAAUUCCGCGUGUAGCAGUGAAAUGCGUAGAUAUCAGGAAGAACACCCGUGGCUAAGGCGGUUCUCUAGUACGGUACUGACGCUGAGACGCGAAAGCGUGGGGAGCGAACAGG
rnacentral:rRNA from 1 species